GAGCAGAGCACCGUAGGUAGUUUAAUCUUUGAUCUUUCCACUGUCCUUUUUCCUCGGCGGAGAGAAAGAGAGAGAUAUUGGGGUUUGAGUUUGAUUGAUAUAUCAAUGGGGAGCAUCUGCAUCUCCUCUGAAGAUGAGUUGAGUCAGAGGUUCGAGAGCUACAGCUUGAGUGCAGACGUCAGUGAGUCCGAAAGCUCCACCAGUGACUUUUCUUGUCGGCACGAAGCUCCUGCUGCUGCUUCCACUUCUUUGACUUCUUCCCCUCCAUCCGGACCCAACUUCGCUGACAUUUUUGUUUGUCAGCAACAGCCGCCUAUACCCUUUUUGUUUCCGGCGGUCGGUGGACGACAUGUCGUCAUUCCGGCGACCAAGGCUGAGAAACCUGAGACCAAGUUGUCCGAAGCUGAAUUGAUGAAGGAGCGGUUUGCAAAGCUUCUGCUUGGAGAAGACAUGUCAGGUGGAGGCAAGGGAGUCUGUACGGCUCUUGCUAUUUCCAAUGCCAUCACAAAUCUCUCCGCCACUGUGUUUGGGGAGUUGUGGAAGUUGGAGCCAUUGGCACCCCAGAAGAAGGCAAUGUGGUGCCGGGAGAUGGAUUGGCUUUUGUGUGUAAGUGAUUCUAUUGUUGAGCUCAUACCAUCAAUACAAGAAUUCCCUGGUGGUGGAACCUUCGAGGUUAUGGUCACUCGGCCCCGCACUGAUCUAUAUGUAAACCUGCCGGCACUCAAGAAACUAGAUGCGAUGCUGCUUAGCAUUCUUGACGGAUUCCAUGAUUCUCAGUUUUACUAUGUUGACCGAGGUAUAAUUAUUGCUGAUUCUGAUGAUGGUGAAACAAUUCCCCUGUCUUCCUCUUCCAAUAGACCUUCAAUCAGGCAAGAAGAGAAGUGGUGGCUCCCAUUCCCUAAGGUUCCCCCAAAUGGUCUCUCUGAGAAUGCGAGGAAGACACUGCAACAGUGAUCAAUAGUAGUGUGCUGGCUGAAAUGGAAAUCCCUGACGCUUAUUUGGAGAGUUUGCCCAAGAGUGCGAAAGCUUGUUUAGGCGAAAUCAUUUACCGUUUUAUAGCUGCUGAUCGGUUCUCCCCAGAAUGUCUUCUUGAUUACUUGGACCUCUCAUCAGAAUACACCACUCUGGAAAUAGCAAACCGGAUUGAGGCUGCUGCGCACAUUUGGAAGCAGAAACACCUGAAAUGCCAUCCAACUCUUGUGAAUACUGGAAAGUCAUCCUGGGGAGGAAAGGUCAAAGGCUUUGUCAGUGACACAGAAAAAAACAAGCUUCUAGCGCAUCGGGCUGAUACGCUCUUACAGAACCUAAGGAUACGGUUCCCUGGCCUCCCGCAGACCGCUCUGGACAUGAACAAGAUUCAGUACAACAAGGAUGUGGGGCAAUCAGUCCUUGAGAGCUAUUCUAGGGUGAUGGAGAGCUUGGCGUUCAACAUAAUGGCAAGGAUUGAUGAUCUGCUAUAUGUAGAUGAUGCCACGAAACAACGGGCAGCUUCAGAGUCUGUGUCUCUGUAUGACCAGGGAAGGUUUGGUGGUGCUAUGUCAAAACAGAAAAGGAUAUCACCCAGUCCAUUCUCAGUUCACCAUACUUCAAUUGCAUUACCAGCGUUGGAUCAUAUCAAUCAGACAACUAGAAGCCCUGGUAGAAGGACACAUAAACCAAUAAAGAAGACUAGUUUUAGUGACGCGUUGGAUGACAAGUUAGAAAAAUUAACUUUCUGAUGAUCUUGAAGUAACUAAUGUUGGCCAACUUCUCUGUCACGGUAUGUACUUUGUAGCUAAUUAAAAGAUGGUUUGCUCAACCACCUGAUGGAUGAGCAAGUUAAGGUAUACAUAUGCUAAAAUAUGAAUAUGGUU